AUGUAGGGCAAUAUGUCAUUAAGUAGGGGCAAAUUACCCUAAUUAAAAAGACUUAGCUUUCCUUUAAGUCAAGCAUCUUAU
rnacentral:pre_miRNA from 1 species